CUCAGAUUGAACGCUGGCGGCAGGCCUAACACAUGCAAGUCGAGCGGAUGAAAGGAGCUUGCUCCUGGAUUCAGCGGCGGACGGGUGAGUAAUGCCUAGGAAUCUGCCUGGUAGUGGGGGACAACGUUUCGAAAGGAACGCUAAUACCGCAUACGUCCUACGGGAGAAAGCAGGGGACCUUCGGGCCUUGCGCUAUCAGAUGAGCCUAGGUCGGAUUAGCUAGUUGGUGAGGUAAUGGCUCACCAAGGCGACGAUCCGUAACUGGUCUGAGAGGAUGAUCAGUCACACUGGAACUGAGACACGGUCCAGACUCCUACGGGAGGCAGCAGUGGGGAAUAUUGGACAAUGGGCGAAAGCCUGAUCCAGCCAUGCCGCGUGUGUGAAGAAGGUCUUCGGAUUGUAAAGCACUUUAAGUUGGGAGGAAGGGUUGUAGAUUAAUACUCUGCAAUUUUGACGUUACCGACAGAAUAAGCACCGGCUAACUCUGUGCCAGCAGCCGCGGUAAUACAGAGGGUGCAAGCGUUAAUCGGAAUUACUGGGCGUAAAGCGCGCGUAGGUGGUUUGUUAAGUUGGAUGUGAAAUCCCCGGGCUCAACCUGGGAACUGCAUCCAAAACUGGCAAGCUAGAGUAUGGUAGAGGGUGGUGGAAUUUCCUGUGUAGCGGUGAAAUGCGUAGAUAUAGGAAGGAACACCAGUGGCGAAGGCGACCACCUGGACUGA
rnacentral:rRNA from 1 species